rnacentral:rRNA from 1 species
GACAGAGGGUGCGAACGUUGUUCGGAAUUACUGGGCGUAAAGGGCUCGUAGGCGGCCAACUAAGUCAUACGUGAAAUCCCUCGGCUUAACCGGGGAACUGCGUCUGAUACUGGAUGGCUUGAGAUUGGGAGAGGGAUGCGGAAUUCCAGGUGUAGCGGUGAAAUGCGUAGAUAUCUGGAGGAACACCGGUGGCGAAGGCGGCAUCCUGGACCAACACUGACGCUGAGGAGCGAAAGCCAGGGGAGCAAACGGG